GGACGAACGCUGGCGGCGUGCCUAACACAUGCAAGUCGAACGAAGCAUAGCAAUAUGCUUAGUGGCGGACGGGUGAGUAACGCGUGAACAAUCUGCCCUGUACAAAGGAAUAGCCUCGGGAAACCGGGAUUAAAACCGUAUGACACUUUAGUAUCGCAUGAUAAGAAAGUCAAAUCGAUUAGAGGUAUGGGAUGAGUUCGCGUCUGAUUAGCUGGUUGGCGGGGUAACGGCCCACCAAGGCGACGAUCAGUAGCCGGCCUGAGAGGGUGAACGGUCACACUGGAACUGAGACACGGUCCAGACUCCUACGGGAGGCAGCAGUGGGGAAUAUUGCACAAUGGAGGGAACUCUGAUGCAGCGACGCCGCGUGAGUGAAGAAGGUCUUCGGAUCGUAAAACUCUGUCCUUGGUGAAGAAAAGGACGGUAGCCAAGGAGGAAGCCCCGGCUAACUACGUGCCAGCAGCCGCGGUAAUACGUAGGGGGCGAGCGUUGUCCGGAUUUACUGGGCGUAAAGGGUGAGUAGGCGGUUAUAUAUGUCAGGUGUAAAAAGCUAUGGCUUAACCAUAGUAAGCACUUGAAACUGUAUGACUUGAGUGCAGGAGAGGUAAGCGGAAUUCCUAGUGUAGCGGUGAAAUGCGUAGAUAUUAGGAGGAACACCGGUGGCGAAGGCGGCUUACUGGACUGUAACUGACGCUGAGUCACGAAAGCGUGGGUAGCAAACAGGAUUAGAUACCCUGGUAGUCCACGCUGUAAACGAUGAGUGCUAGGUGUUGGGUAGCGAUAUUCAGUGCCGGAGUAAACACAAUAAGCACUCCGCCUGGGGAGUACGGUCGCAAGACUGAAACUCAAAGGAAUUGACGGGGACCGCACAAGCAGCGGAGCAUGUGGUUUAAUUCGAAGCAACGCGAAGAACCUUACCAAGGCUUGACAUCCCCUUGACAGAUGCAGAGAUGUAUCCUCCCCUUCGGGGGCAAGGGAGACAGGUGGUGCAUGGUUGUCGUCAGCUCGUGUCGUGAGAUGUUGGGUUAAGUCCCGCAACGAGCGCAACCCUUAUCCUUAGUUGCCAGCAUUUAAGGUGGGCACUCUAAGGAGACUGCCGGUGAUAAACCGGAGGAAGGUGGGGAUGACGUCAAAUCAUCAUGCCCCUUAUGUCUUGGGCUACACACGUGCUACAAUGGUCGGUACAACGGGCAGCUAUGGAGCGAUCCGGAGCAAAUCCCAAUAAACCGAUCCCAGUUCGGAUUGCAGGCUGCAACUCGCCUGCAUGAAGUCGGAGUUGCUAGUAAUCGCGAAUCAGAACGUCGCGGUGAAUGCGUUCCCGGGUCU
rnacentral:rRNA from 1 species